AUUACCUUCUUCCUCGAUCUCUCUCCCUUCUUGAUCUCUCACUGAGCCAUGCCGCCACACCUACCUUCAAGCUGCAUCCAAUCUUUCUUGCUCGAUCUCUUUUCCUUGCCAUCGAUCACCGAGAUUACAGCAGUUAUUCCUUCCGCGACCCUAUACUGCUGCUUGGUAUCACCGCUUGCUAAUCCAGAAUCACUAUUUGUCAUGCUUUUGAGAUUAGAG
rnacentral:lncRNA from 1 species